rnacentral:rRNA from 1 species
GACGUAGGGCGCGAGCGUUGUCCGGAUUUAUUGGGCGUAAAGGGCGCGUAGGCGGCUUGGCAAGUGGAAGGUGAAAUCCCUCGGCUUAACCGAGGAACUGCCCUCCAAACUGCUUCGCUUGAGACCGGGAGAGGUGAGUGGAAUUCCCAGUGUAGCGGUGAAAUGCGUAGAUAUUGGGAGGAACACCAGUGGCGAAGGCGGCUCACUGGACCGGUACUGACGCUGAUGCGCGAAAGCGUGGGGAGCAAACGGG